CAGCCCCCAGCAUUACCACAAGUUGUCUGUCCUUGGGCAAGUGGGGCUUACAGGUUAGAUGAAUUUUGGUUUUUAGAUCUCUCAAGCAUAGUGAUUAAAACUUAAAAUAUAAAAUCCACAACAUCUUUCUUUCUCUCCCUGCUCUUGCCCCUUCAUCAGGACCAGUUCCCACCAUCACUGUCCCUCCUUGUAAGUCUUCAGUGUAGAACACCUUGAGGAACAAGGAGCCCCCGGUCGUAUGUGUUUUACAUGCUCCCUGCAGCUCACUGUUUCCACUUCCGCUGUCCAUUUCCUACUGCCUGGAAGCAAGGGCAGGUUAUAGGCCUCUGACAGAGGACCUGGCCCACUGUAGAGAAGAAGCCUGUGUGAUGACAGCGACAGCGUGUAACAUCUCAGGCACAGAACACUUAGUGAGUGGUAACUGGCUGUACCCACGCCACGCAAGUGCACUGAACAACCUCGGGACACUGACAAAGGACACGGCAGAGGCAAAGCUGUACUACCAGAGGGCGCUGCAACUCCAUCCUCAGCACAACCGUGCGCUUUUCAACCUGGGGAAUCUCCUGAAUUGGCUCCUUCAGAAUGAAGACCUUCUAAGGAUUGUGAAGACAUGGAAACUAAUUAUUAUAAUAAAUUUAAAUGUUUGGUGCAUACUUCCUCAUAGCGUCUUCAUUGGCCACACAGUGUUUUUAUGAAAGGACAUCGGUAUGUGCACAAAGCUGGUAGAUCUCUGCUUCUCAACUUUGUUCUCUUUUGAGACAGAGUUUCACUCUGUAGCUUAGGUUGACCUUGAACUCAUGGCAGUCCUCCUGUUUCAGCCCCCACCCAGUAAUGA
rnacentral:lncRNA from 1 species